rnacentral:rRNA from 1 species
GACGAACGCUGGCGGCGUGCUUAACACAUGCAAGUCGAACGAUGAAGCUAGAGCUUGCUCUGGUGGAUUAGUGGCGAACGGGUGAGUAACACGUGAGUAACCUGCCCCGAACUCUGGGAUAACUGCUGGAAACGGUAGCUAAUACCGGAUAUGACCAAUGAAGGCAUCUUCUGUUGGUGGAAAGAAUUUCGGUUCGGGAUGGACUCGCGGCCUAUCGGCUUGUUGGUGAGGUAACGGCUCACCAAGGCAACGACGGGUAGCCGGCCUGAGAGGGUGAUCGGCCACACUGGGACUGAGACACGGCCCAGACUCCUACGUGAGGCAGCAGUGGGGAAUAUUGCACAAUGGGCGCAAGCCUGAUGCAGCAACGCCGCGUGAGGGACGACGGCCUUCGGGUUGUAAACCUCUUUUAGUAGGGAAGAAGCGAAAGUGACGGUACCUGCAGAAAAAGCACCGGCUAACUACGUGCCAGCCGCCGCCGUAA